GGCCGACGGAAGAAGCAUUGUUAAGGAACUCGGCAAAAUGACCCCGUAACUUCGGGAGAAGGGGUGCCACAGAAAUGUGGCCGCAGAGAAUAGGCUCAAGCAACUGUUUAGCAAAAACACAGGUCUAUGCAAAACCGAAAGGUGAGGUAUAUGGGCUGACGCCUGCCCGGUGCUGGAAGGUUAAGAGGAGAGGUUAGCGCAAGCGAAGCUUUGAAUUGAAGCCCCAGUAAACGGCGGCCGUAACGAUAACGGUCCUAAGGUAGCGAAAUUCCUUGUCGGGUAAGUUCCGACCCGCACGAAAGGCGUAAUGAUUUGAGCGCUGUCUCGACAAUGCAUCCGGUGAAAUUGAAGUACCAGUGAAGAUGCUGGUUACCUGCGCCAGGACGGAAAGACCCCAUGGAGCUUUACUCCAGCUUGAUACUGGGAUUCGGUAUUGCAUGUACAGGAUAGGUGGGAGGCUGAGAAUCGGUAACGCCAGUUGCCGAGGAGCCAUUGUUGGGAUACCACCCUUGCAGUACUGGGCUUCUAACCAGCAGCCGUGACCCGGCUGGGGGACAAUGUCAGGUGGGGAGUUUGACUGGGGCGGUCGCCUCCGAAAGGGUAUCGGAGGCGCUCAAAGGUUCCCUCAGAAUGGUUGGAAACCAUUCGAAGAGUGCAAAGGCAGAAGGGAGCUUGACUGCGACACCGACGGGUGGAGCAGGUACGAAAGUAGGACUUAGUGAUCCGGUGGUAUUAAGUGGGAAUGCCAUCGCUCAACGGAUAAAAGCUACCCUGGGAUAACAGGCUUAUCACUCCCAAGAGUUCACAUCGACGGAGUGGUUUGGCACCUCGAUGUCGGCUCAUCGCAUCCUGGGGCUGUAGUAGGACCCAAGGGUUGGGCUGUUCGCCCAUUAAAGCGGUACGCGAGCUGGGUUCAGAACGUCGUGAGACAGUUCGGUCCCUAUCCGGCGUGGGCGUAGGAUAUCUGAGAGGAGCUGUCCUUAGUACGAGAGGACCGGGAUGGACGGACCGCUGGUGUACCUGUUGCAGUGCCAGCUGCAUGGCAGGGUAGCCAAGUCCGGAAGGGAUAAACGCUGAAGGCAUCUAAGCGUGAAGCCCCCCUCAAGAUGAGAUAUCCCAUUCGGAAGAAGUAAGACCCCUUGAAGACGACGAGGUAGAUAGGGCAGAGGUGGAAGUGCAGUAAUGUAUGGAGCUGACUGUUACUAAUCGGUCGAGGGUUUGACCAA
rnacentral:rRNA from 1 species